rnacentral:misc_RNA from 1 species
GAUGAAGAACGCAGCGAAAUGCGAUAAGUAAUGUGAAUUGCAGAAUUCAGUGAAUCAUCGAAUCUUUGAACGCACAUUGCGCCCGCCAGUAUUCUGGCGGGCAUGCCUGUUCGAGCGUCAUUUCAACCAUCAAGCCCCAGGCUUGUGUUGGGGACCUGCGGCUGCCGCAGGCCCUGAAAACCAGUGGCGGGCUCGCUGUCACACCGGGCGUAGUAGAUUUUAUCUCGCUCAGGGCGUGCUGCGGGUUCCGGCCGUUAAAAAGCCUUUUUUACCCAAGGUUGACCUCGGAUCGGGUAGGAAGACCCGCUGAACUUAAGCAUAUCAAUAAGCGGAGGA